CCUACGGGUGGCAGCAGUGAGGAAUAUUGGUCAAUGGACGAGAGUCUGAACCAGCCAAGUAGCGUGAAGGAUGACUGCCCUAUGGGUUGUAAACUUCUUUUAUAUGGGAAUAAAAUGUUCCACGUGUGGGAUUUUGUAUGUACCAUAUGAAUAAGGAUCGGCUAACUCCGUGCCAGCAGCCGCGGUAAUACGGAGGAUCCGAGCGUUAUCCGGAUUUCUUGGGUUUAAAGGGAGCGUCGGUGGAUUGUUAAGUCAGUUGUGAAAGUUUGCGGCUCAACCGUAAAAUUGCUGUUGAAACUGGCAGGCUUGAGUACAGUAGAGGUGGGCGGAAUUCGUGGUGUAGCGGUGAAAUGCUUAGAUAUCACGAAGAACUCCGAUUGCGAAGGCAGCUCACUGGACUGCAACUGACACUGAGGCUCGAAAGUGUGGGUAUCAAACAGGAUUAGAUACCCCUGUAGUC
rnacentral:rRNA from 1 species